rnacentral:misc_RNA from 1 species
UACGUUUGUAUGGAACCAGUCUUCAGAUAUGAGCGAUGACAACCAUUCUGUUCCCUGUUAGUACUUUUCAUGUACCAAUCGCCCGCUGAUUCCAACUGUCUGUGGGCCUCGGGAAGCACAACGUGUCCUGAGUGUGUACGAGGGUGGCAUGGCGUCCACUGUGACAAAAGAUGUAUUGGAUUUUGUGACAGUGGUGGUUGUCAUAGGGACUCAGGAAAAUGCCUUUCAGUGCCAGGGCGGCUACUACUCAUCCAACUGUAGAAGAAAAU